GACGAACGCUGGCGGCGUGCUUAACACAUGCAAGUCGAACGGUGAAAGCGGAGCUUGCUCCGCUGGAUCAGUGGCGAACGGGUGAGUAACACGUGGGCAACCUGCCCUUCACCUCGGGAUAACUCCGGGAAACCGGGGCUAAUACCGGAUACGACCUCCUUGGGCAUCCUUGGAGGUGGAAAGUUCUUCGGUGAAGGAUGGGCCCGCGGCCUAUCAGCUUGUUGGUGAGGUAGUGGCUCACCAAGGCGAC
rnacentral:rRNA from 1 species